UGAUAGCUCAGUUGGUAGAGCAAAGGACUGAAAAUCCUUGUGUGGUAGGUUCAAUUCCUACUCA
rnacentral:tRNA from 1 species